UCCAUUACAGUCUACAGAGAGAAACU
rnacentral:sRNA from 1 species